rnacentral:rRNA from 1 species
UACGUAGGGGGCAAGCGUUGUCCGGAAUUAUUGGGCGUAAAGCGCGUGUAGGCGGCUCGAUAAGUCCGCUCUGAAAGUCCGGGGCUCAACCCCGGGAGGCGGGUGGAUACUGUCGGGCUAGAGUCCGGAAGAGGCGAGUGGAAUUUCUGGUGUAGCGGUGAAAUGCGCAGAUAUCAGAAGGAACACCAAUGGCGAAGGCAGCUCGCUGGGACGGUACUGACGCUGAGACGCGAAAGCGUGGGGAGCAAACAGG